rnacentral:rRNA from 1 species
GGGGGGGGGGGGGGGGGGGGGGGGGGGGGGGGGGGCGGGGGGGCGGGGGGGGGGCGUGGGGCUCUGAGGGUGGGGGGGGACGGGUGGGUACCGCGGGGGUGACCUACCUGUGAGACUGGGGUAGCUUCGGGGAACCGGAGCUAAUACCGGAGACUAUGUUCAACCGCAUGGUUCCAUAGUGACCGCCGGUUUUGCUGUCCCUUAUGGAUGUUGCCGCGCCGCCUUAGCUCAUUGGUCAGGUAACGGCGUACCAAGGCGACGAUGCGUAGCCGACCUGAGAGGGUGGUCGGCCACACUGGAACUGAGACACGGUCCAGACUCCUAAGGGAGGCAGCAGUAGGGAAUCUUCCGCAAUGGGCGAAAGCCUGACGGAGCAACGCCGCGUGAGUGAUGAAGGUCUUCGGAUCGUAAAACUCUGUUAUUAGGGAAGAACAAAUGUGUAAGUAACUAUGCACGUCUUGACGGUACCUAAUCAGAAAGCCACGGCUAACUACGUG